GAUUUUCUCUCUCUCGAAGCCACACAAUUUACAUCUCUUUCUUUCCUUCCCUUUUAAGUCUAAUCUUACUGUCUUCCCCUAAUCUUUUCUCCCAAACGGCCGUCGCAAGAAAUCCUCGUGCCCAACCUUUCUGUCAUCGAACCACCACGUGCCCAACCUUGCGUCGUCGAACACCACUGUCAUUUUGCUUGCCGAGCAGCUUCGUGUAAAAAGCUUUGACCGCGUGAAAAGAUUUGACCUCGUGUUGUCGAUCGCUGAACAGCUUCGACCGCCGUUGUGUUUGCCACCACCGUCGGAUCUGGUUAGUUCGUGGCCAGAUUUGCAUUUGAAGUGCCACCCACUGAACGCCUUAACUAAUAAACGACACGUAAUAAAUGUGUAAGUUUAAAAUUAUAUUUCCCGUUUCUCUUCUCUAAUUCUCUUUGUUCUUGUUUGACAAAAUUUCUUUGUGAAGAAGAUGCAGAAGCUCUUUUCUGCCACAACUGCUUGUGCUUCGAUUUUUUGGAGACAGAGAUAAUAUCUACAAAAAUGAUCGAGUACAUUGGUUACUGCCUCUGUUGUGGCAGCCACUUUGCUGGUCUUGUAUAUGAAAUGAAGGAUUUUCUUGAGUGAACUAAUGGAAAAGGGGUCUUCCUAUUCUUCUUCUUUGAUUAUUUUUGCACCAAACGUCUUAGUUCUUUGAGGCUGUCAUUCACCUUAGUGCAAGAGCAUAUAGUUUAGUUUUUUUCCCUAAUUAAUUAUUAAUUUUUCUUUCUAUUUUAUUAUAAGUUUAACUUCUUUUUUAAUAAUUUUUGCAGAGGCUAGACCUAAGAGCUUGAUGAGAGUUACGGAAUCAUGGACCUUAGUCUUUACCAUCUCAACAACCAUUUAUAUAGGCUUUUUCUUUCAAUAACUUCUAUUGUUUAUCAUAUAAUAUACAAUCCUCAUUUUGAGAAAACAAAUUGUUAUUACUUAUUUUGUACUAGAAAUACAAGUUGUGAAAAAUCUAGAAUUCUGAAACCUAUGCUCAACACAAGCUGAAAGGUUAUAAUUAUUCCCAAUAAUAAAUUUUUAACUUUUUAGUUGCAUCAGUAAGAAGAAAUAUUUCAAUUUUUUGAGUUUACAUUGUGUAUGUGGAUUCUUUUAUAGGGUGUUGAAGUGGUGUUGAUUUUCAUUUUUUGUGAAUAGUUUCAUUUUGUUUUUCUAACUUAGAUAAUGGAAAUUUAGAUACUCAUCCUCUAUCUUUCCUUGAAGUUACAGGAGUAUUUAAAGAAAGGGAGGAGAAGAAAUCAGGUAUAAUGGGAUGGGAUACAUUCAGUUGGUACAUUUGUUUCUCAUCUUUAUUAUUAGCGUUAUUUUUUCAUUUGGGUUUAAAUUUGAUUGGUUCGUGCCUUUCCAUCUUCUUUUAAGCUUUUUUCCUUAAUUGGUAUCAUUUCUAAUUAUGCAACUAAAGAAAGAAAAUGACACUACUAGAUUGAUGGCCUCGAAGCUUUGAACUGAUAAGGGCUCGUUCUUCGACUCCAGUUGAUACUCUGAUAUCUUCCUUGUGAAAAAGUACAUCCAUUAUGAAGAUGGAAACAAGAGGUUAUUACAAUUGUUUGAAUUUCUUAGCAUGAUUCAGUCAAAUGAUCGUUCUGAUGAUAUUACAUAUCUUGCUCAACAUCCAUUAUUUGACAAAGGUAUGUACUGAUAUUUUCUGUUUAGCAUUUUAUAGUAUUCAAAGAACUGGUAUAUUAAUGUGGAGAUUUUUAGGGAAUAAUUGUGGAUUUUACACUGUUUACUUUUUUUUUUUUAAACUUCUAUGAUUAGCAUGAUAAGUAGAUUAAAUUGAAGACGUAAGGGAAUGCUUAGAUGUUUAGUUCAAGUAAGUUGUGUAUUUCUACCUCUUACUCUCGUUUCAAGAUUUAGAGACAGACAUGCGAAAUAAUGUUUUAAUCUGAGUCUCACUCUUUUUUCAGUCAAGCCUCAAAUCAAAUAACAUUUAUUGAUCAAUAGCCAAAAAAAAUUAAGCAAAAGCAUAUAGAACAUACCAUUUUAGAUGAAAGAUAAUUAGCACCAUGAAAAGUCUUUGAUGAAAUGAAUUAGCAUAAGAAAAACGAUAAUCCUGGUGAAAUUUUUUGAUGAACAUGAGGGAUAAAAACCUUUCAUGAUCUUAGAGAGACUAGACCUCGAAUUUUAUAUGUUUUUGGAAAAAAUUUCAAUGCAAACGCUCUAUUGUUUUGACUUGUCCAAUUAGCAAAUAACAGGGAUCUGGUAACUGUUUGGAUGAGAUCUGAAGAAAAAAGGUAAUUCUAAAAGCAUCAUGUGAAUAUUGGUAUGAACAUAUCAAUUUCAAUGUGAUUAUUUGAUAACCAAAGAUAAGCCCCAUUAUUGUUUGUCAUGAUCAAUCAGUAGUAGGGAAUAAAUUUGGAACUGUCUUCAGUAUAAGAAAGUGUCUAGUUUCCCUAGCCUUUAGUAAAAAAUAAAUUUGAAACUGUCUUCUUCAAGUAUCUGUCUCGUAGUUUUAUACUUUGUUUAAUCUCUAUUUGGUAUGAUUAAUUUUUUUUUUGUUUGGUGUAUAUCAUUGAACUAAGAAAUAAGAGCAAGUUUUGAUAGAAAUAUCUGGAUUGUUUGGUACAGAUAGACAUUGAGUUUAUAAUAUUUGACUGUUUUUGAAAUGUUUGAGUUGAUUUGACUCAUGUUCUAUUGUUUAUUUUUCUAAAAGAUAUUGCUCGAGUCAGUGAACUCCAUGAAAAGAUCUUUUGUUGUGGAUCUUCCAUGUAUUUAUUCUAUUUAAUUUUACCAAUACUAGCAGUCUUUUGUUACAUAUAUUUGGCUAAUCGAUUUAGUUUCAAACGUUUUUAUCUUUUACUUGAAUUAUAUGAUAGUGUUCAGAAACGUUUUUACUCCACUUUUUUUUUUUCAAAUCUGCCUUGUUAAAAUUGUAAAGAUUAAAUGUUUGAUUAGGUAUUGUUUGUAGAAUGAUUGAAGUCAUAUCGGGUUGAAACCUAAGCGAUUGUGUUGAUAGCCAAGCGAUUGUUGAAGGUUGAAGACUGAGAAGGCGUUUAGGAUUUUCUUAUUUAAGUCUUGUAUUAAGAUUUUGUUUCAUGUAAUUGUUGUAGAAUGUAUAUAUAACCCAAUA